rnacentral:rRNA from 1 species
UACGGAGGGUGCAAGCGUUAUCCGGAUUUACUGGGUUUAAAGGGUGCGUAGGCGGGUCUUUAAGUCAGUGGUGAAAACUUCGAGCUUAACUCGAAAACUGCCAUUGAUACUAUUGAUCUUGAAUUUAGUUGAGGUUGGCGGAAUGUGUCGUGUAGCGGUGAAAUGCUUAGAUAUGACACAGAACACCGAUUGCGAAGGCAGCUGGCUAAACUAAAAUUGACGCUGAGGCACGAAAGUGUGGGGAUCAAAC